AGUGAACGCUGGCGGCAGGCCUAACACAUGCAAGUCGAACGCUCCGCAAGGGGAGUGGCAGACGGAUGAGUAACACGUGGGAAUCUUCCUGUUGGUGCGGAAUAGCUCAGGGAAACUUGGGGUAAUACCGCAUAAGCCCGAGAGGGGAAAGAUUUAUCGCCGACAGAUGAGCCCGCGUCUGAUUAGCUAGUUGGUGAGGUAACGGCUAACCAAGGCGACGAUCAGUAGCUGGUCUGAGAGGAUGACCAGCCACACUGGGACUGAGACACGGCCCAGACUCCUACGGGAGGCAGCAGUGGGUAAUAUUGGACAAUGGGCGCAAGCCUGUUCCAGUCAUCCCGCGUUAGUGACGAAGGUCUUCGGAUUGUAAAGCUCUUUUGGCGGGGACGAUAAUGACGGUACCCGCAGAAUAAGCCCCGGCUAACUUCGUGCCAGCCGCCGCUGUAAGAC
rnacentral:rRNA from 1 species